rnacentral:rRNA from 1 species
UUAAAUUGAAGAGUUUGAUCAUGGCUCAGAUUGAACGCUGGCGGCAGGCCUAACACAUGCAAGUCGAACGGUAACAGGAAGCAGCUUGCUGCUUUGCUGACGAGUGGCGGACGGGUGAGUAAUGUCUGGGAAACUGCCUGAUGGAGGGGGAUAACUACUGGAAACGGUGGCUAAUACCGCAUAACGUCGCAAGACCAAAGAGGGGGACCUUCGGGCCUCUUGCCAUCAGAUGUGCCCAGAUGGGAUUAGCUUGUUGGUGAGGUAACGGCUCACCAAGGCGAC